UACAGAGGGUGCGAGCGUUAAUCGGAAUUACUGGGCGUAAAGCGUGCGUAGACGGUUACGUAAGUUAGGUGUGAAAGCCCCGGGCUCAACCUGGGAAUUGCAUUUAAGACUGCGUAGCUAGGGUGCGGAAGAGGGAAGCGGAAUUUCCGGUGUAGCGGUGAAAUGCGUAGAUAUCGGAAGGAACAUCAGUGGCGAAGGCGACUACCUGGCCUGUUCUGACGCUGAGGCGCGAAAGCUAGGGAGCAACGGG
rnacentral:rRNA from 1 species